AAUUCCCUCAACCUUGUCCCAAAUUCCAAAUUUAAAACUCUUAGACCUUGCACAGAAUAAAUUGAGUGGGGAAAUACCUAGGCUUAUAUACUGGAAUGAAAUUUUGCAAUAUCUAGGUUUGCAAGGGAACAAUUUGGUUGGUACUCUCUCUCCUGACAUGUGUCAGUUGACAAGGUUGUGGUAC